AUGCAAGUCGAACGGUAACAGGAAGAAGCUUGCUUCUUUGCUGACGAGUGGCGGACGGGUGAGUAAUGUCUGGGAAACUGCCUGAUGGAGGGGGAUAACUACUGGAAACGGUAGCUAAUACCGCAUAACGUCGCAAGACCAAAAAGGGGGACCUUCGGGCCUCUUGCCAUCGGAUGUGCCCAGAUGGGAUUAGCUAGUAGGUGGGGUAACGGCUCACCUAGGCGACGAUCCCUAGCUGGUCUGAGAGGAUGACCAGCCACACUGGAACUGAGACACGGUCCAGACUCCUACGGGAGGCAGCAGUGGGGAAUAUUGCACAAUGGGCGCAAGCCUGAUGCAGCCAUGCCGCGUGUAUGAAGAAGGCCUUCGGGUUGUAAAGUACUUUCAGCGGGGAGGAAGGGAGUAAAGUUAAUACCUUUGCUCAUUGACGUUACCCGCAGAAGAAGCACCGGCUGACUCCGUGCCAGCAGCCGCGGUAAUACGGAGGGUGCAAGCGUUAAUCGGAAUUACUGGGCGUAAAGCGCACGCAGGCGGUUUGUUAAGUCAGAUGUGAAAUCCCCGGGCUCAACCUGGGAACUGCAUCUGAUACUGGCAAGCUUGAGUCUCGUAGAGGGGGGUAGAAUUCCAGGUGUAGCGGUGAAAUGCGUAGAGAUCUGGAGGA
rnacentral:rRNA from 1 species